CAGUAGCCGCGGGAAUACAGAGGGUGCAAGCGUUAAUCGGAAUUACUGGGCGUAAAGCGCGCGUAGGUGGUUUGUUAAGUUGGAUGUGAAAUCCCCGGGCUCAACCUGGGAACUGCAUCCAAAACUGGCAAGCUAGAGUAUGGUAGAGGGUGGUGGAAUUUCCUGUGUAGCGGUGAAAUGCGUAGAUAUAGGAAGGAACACCAGUGGCGAAGGCGACCACCUGGACUGAUACUGACACUGAGGUGCGAAAGCGUGGGGAGCAAACAGGAUUAGAUACCCGGGUAGUCCCUGUCUCUUAUAA
rnacentral:rRNA from 1 species